CAAGACAUGCGUUCCAGGAAGUAUGAAGUGCUCUACAACUUCCUGGUAGACGGUUGUGUUGACCUUGGACCCCAGAAAACACAGUGGACCAACACCAGCAGAUAGCAUGGCACCCUAAACCAUCACUGACUGUGGAAACUUUAUACUGGACCUCAAGCAACGUGGAUUCUGUGCUUCUCCUCUCUUCCUCCAGACU